CCUACGGUGGGCAGCAGUCGAGAAUAAUUCACAAUGGGGGAAACCCUGAUGGUGCGACGCCGCGUGAGGGAAUGAAGGUCUUCGGAUUGUAAACCCCUGUCAUGUGGGGGCAAAUUAAAAAGAUAGUACCACAAGGGGAGGAGACGGCGAAAUAUGUGCCAGCAGCCGCGGUAAUACAGAGGUGUCAAGCGGUGUUCGGAAUCACUGGGCGUAAAGCGUGCGGAGGCUGUGUCGUAAGUCGUGUGUGAAAGGCGCGGGCUCAACCCGCGGACGGCACAUGAUACUGGGAGACUAGAGUAAUGGAGGGGUAAGCGGAAUGCGCGGUGUAGCAGUGAAAUGCGUAGAUAUCGAGAGGAACACUCGUGGCGAAGGCGGGUUCCUGGACAUUAACUGACGCUGAGGCACGAAGGCCAGGGGAGCGAAAGGGAUUAGAUACCCCUGUAGUC
rnacentral:rRNA from 1 species